CUUGUGCCUGGAGCUGUGCUGAGUUGAAAGAGGAUGCUAAUUCCCCCUCCCUAUUCUCUUCCAGUUUGACUCUGGCAAACUUCUACUGGCUCCAGGAUUGGCCCACAAGAUGGGCUUCAAAGAAUGCGGGGAUAUAUGAAACAUUAGUGUAAUUUCUGCAGCUCCAGCCCAUUUCUCUGCAAUUACCAACCUUGUUCAGAGGGACCCCAUGAGACCUGUUGCCAUCAUCCCCUCUAGGCUCAGCAGUGGAAAAGUGGGGUGGAUGAGAUGGAACCCAUGGAGCUGUUGGUCUCUAUGGAGGAGCUUCAGGAUCAAAGUUGGAGGUGACAGCUCUACACUCAUGCAGCUCUCAAGGAAGUUACUUCUGAUUUACAUCAUUGCAUAUAAGAGAAGAAUCAGGCCCUUUCUAAGGGAUUGGACAUCAUUUCCUGACCCAUGCAACCCCUUGGAACGUGGCCCUUGA
rnacentral:lncRNA from 1 species